rnacentral:rRNA from 1 species
AACGAACGCUGGCGGCAGGCCUAACACAUGCAAGUCGAGCGCGCCCUUCGGGGUGAGCGGCGGACGGGUGAGUAACGCGUGGGAACGUGCCAUUCUCUGCGGAAUAGCCUCGGGAAACUGAGAGUAAUACCGCAUACGCCCUUUGGGGGAAAGAUUUAUCGGAGAAGGAUCGGCCCGCGUUGGAUUAGGUAGUUGGUGGGGUAAUGGCCCACCAAGCCGACGAUCCAUAGCUGGUUUGAGAGGAUGAUCAGCCACACUGGGACUGAGACACGGCCCAGCCUCCUACGGGAGGCAGCAGUGGGGAAUCUUAGACAAUGGGGGCAACCCUGAUCUAGCCAUGCCGCGUGAGUGAUGAAGGCCUUAGGGUUGUAAAGCUCUUUCAGCUGGGAAGAUAAUGACGGUACCAGCAGAAGAAGCCCCGGCUAACUCCGUG